GUCCGUGAACCGUGAGGAAACAGUCUCCCCUUGCGGAUCCGGCGAAAUACACAACAAAAGGAG
rnacentral:ncRNA from 1 species